AUGACUUACUUUUCAAUCUAACUCUAGCAUAACAUUAUGACAGAAGAAAAAAAUAUUUAACUUCAAAAUAUUUUCUUUUGCCAUACCUUUAAAUUGCCUUGCAAAGUAUCUUGUGGGAAAUAUCCAUAUUCUACAGAGAAUCUUCUUUCCCCUUUGUUUUCCUUCCUUUCUUUGCAGUUCCAGAAGAUAACCAACUAAGAGCCAGGCACCCAUUUAGGUCUGAUAAGAAACAUUUUACAACCUGCCCUCUCUCUAAAGUCUGGUAUCUGAGAGGCUGCUCUGCACAAUAAAACUUUGUCUCCACAAUUCUUUACCUUAACCUAAACAUUCCUUUCCAUUGAUCCUAGGUCUUCAGAUAAACUCAACCAAUUGUCAACCAGAAAGUCUUUAAAUUGAUCUAUAGCCUGGAAGCCCCCACUUUGAGUUGUCCCGCCUUUCCGAACAAAACUAAUGGUUUUCUUAAAUGUAUUUCAUUGAUGUCUCAUGCCUCUCUAAAAUAUAUAAAACCAAGCUAUACCCCCACCUUGGGCAAAUGUUGUCAAGGACCUCCCGAGAGCUGUGUCACAGGCCACGGAUAUAUUUGGCUCUGAAUAAAUCUCUUCAAAUAUUUUACAGAGUUUGACUCUUUUCAUCGAGAAUAAUCUGGCGCCCAAACACAUGGAGCCUCAGAGAAGAAUCAGGACCCCAGAGGAGUUGCUUGAAAUGGGAGCUAAGGUACUAGCAGGGGCCCAAUGAAGGCCAACCGAGUUCAAGCUUCUCCUCCAGUGAAAAUGGGAUCGUGGCCUCACAGGCUUCAAGGAAUGAAUCCGUGGACCGCGGUGGUCUUACAGAUGCAACUCCCUGCUGGGAACCCAAACCCGUUUCACCAGAAAAGUGAAAGCAUAAGGAAGGAAAUGGGCAUCUGCAAAGAAUCCAAGCAAGAGAAGGAGCAACCGGCUUGUGAACUCACUCCCUUAAGACAGCAUUAAUGUAUUCAAGGGGAUCUGCCCUGUGAUCCAAACACCGCCUACUAGGUCUCACUUCCCAACACUGCCACAUUGGGAAUCAAAUUUCAACAUGCGUUUUGUCAGCGACAAAUCACUUCCAAGCCAUAGCAACCACGUACCCACAAAUAAGAGUCGUAAUCUAUUAGGGUUUUUCUUAAGUUGAUCAUUUUUUCUGUAUAUAAAGUGACACAUUUCAGAAUAAAUUAGUAUGAUUUAAUCCUGUCUCAGUGACUAUUCUUUCUUUUAUCAAAAUGGUUUAUUAUGAUAAAUGUAGUGGUCAUAUUUCAAAUGCAUUGUUUACCUUUGCAUACACUGUAUAUAUAGAAUCCUCAAAAACAUAUGGUAUUAUGAAAUUUUUAUAUUUGCAUGUGCAAUAUCAUAUAACAUUAUUAUACAGUGUGCUUUUACCACUCAAAAUUAUGUUUCUGAGUUCUACAUCUAUCUAUAUCUAUGUAUGUAAAGAUUGACCUAUAUGUGAUAUUGUUCUACAAAUAGAAUUUUUCUAUUUUCAGUAAUUUAUUAUUAUGAACAUCAUGCUAUAAACAUUCAUAUGCCUUUCUACUUCUAUAAAGUUGCAAGAACUUCUCUGUCAUUUACUCAGAAGUAGUGUUUCUGGUCUUUAUAGUAACUUUUAUUUUUUAUUUAUUUUUUUAUUUCCAUAGUUUUGGGGGUACAGGUGGUUUUUGGUUACAUGGAUGAGUUCUACAGUGGUGAAUUCUGAGAUUUUAAUGAACCCAUCACCCAAGCAGUGUACACUGUACCAAAUAUGUAAUCUUUUAUUUCUCACUCCCCUCUCAACCUCUGACCUUGAGGCCCCAAAGUCCAUUAUAUAAUUCUGUGUGUCUUGGACUCAUCAAAGCUUAGCUUCCACUUAUAAAUGAGAACAUAUGGUAUUUGGUUUUCCACUCCUGAGUUACUUCACUUCAAAUAAUGGCCCCAGCUCCAUUCAACUUGCAGCAAAUAUUUCAUUCCUUUUUAUGGCUGAGUAGUAUUCCAUGGUGUAUAUACACUACAUUUUCUUUAUUGAUCACUCAUUGGUCAGUGGGCACUUAGGUUGAUUCCAUAUCUUUGCAAUUGCUAAUUGUGCUGCUAUAAACGUGUGUGCAUGUGUUCUUUUCAUACAAUGACUUCUUUUCCUUUGGAUAGAUACCCAGUAUUGAGAUUUCUAGAUCAAAUGAAAGUUCUACUUUUAGUUCUUUAAGGAAUCUCCAUACUGUUUUCCAUAGUGGUUGUACUCAUUUACAUUCCCACAAGAAGUAUAACAGUUCUUCCUUUUCGCCAAAUCCAACAAAUAUCUAUUGUUUUUGACUUUUCAACUGUGGUCAUUUUUGCAAGAUUAAGGUGAUAUUUCAUUGUGGUUUUAAUUUGUAUUUCCAUGAUAAUAAGUGAUGUUGAGCACACUAAUGUGUUUGUGUAUCUUUAUCUUCUUUGGAUAAAUGUUUGUAUAUCUUCUUUGGAGAAAUGCCUGUUCACAUCCUUUACCCACUUUUUGAUAGGAUUAUUUGCUUUUUUUCUUUUGAUUUGUUUGAGUUCCUUAUAGAUUCUGGAUACUAGUCCUUUGUCAUAUGCAUAGUUUGCAAAUAUGUUCUCUCAUUCUGUGGGUUUUCUGUUUACUCUGCAUAGCAAAAUAAAUAUUUUUUUUCUAUGCAGCAGGUUUAUAGUUUAAUUACGUCCCAUUUAUUUAUUUUUGUUUGUGUUGAAUUUGCUUUUGGGGUCCUAGUCAUUAAUUAUUUGCCUAGGCCAAUGUUCCAAAGAGUUUUUUCAAAGUUAUCUUCUACAAUUUCUAUGGUUUCAGGUCUUAGAUUUAAGUCAUUGAUACACCUUCAGUUGAUUUUGUAUAAGGGAAAAGAUGAGGAUCCAGUUUAAUUCUUCCACUAGUGGCUUGCCAGUUACCCAGCCCCAUUUCUUAAAUAGGGUUUCUUUUCCCCCGUUUAUGUUUUUGUAUGCUUUGUUGAAGAACAGUUGGCUGUAAGUAUUUGGCUUUGUUUCUGGGUUCUCUUUUCUGUUCCAUUGGUCUAAGUGCCUGUUUUUACACCAGUGUAAUACUGUUUUGAUAACUGUAACUUUGUAGCAUAAUUUGAAUUCCAGUAAUGUCAUGCCUCAAGAUGUGUUAUUUUUGCUUAGAUUACUUUGGCUAUUGGGGCACUUUUUUAGUUCCAUAUGAAUAUUAGAAUUGUUUCUUCUACUUCUGUGAAAAAUGGUGAUAGGAUUUUGAUGGGAAUUGCAUUGAAUCUGUAGAUUUCUUUGGGGAUAGUGGUGAUUUUUGCAAUAUUAAUUCUUCCCAUCCAUAAGCAUGGGAUGUGUUUCCAUUUAUUUGUUUGUGCCAUCUAUGAUUUAUUUCAGUAGCGUUUUGCAGUUUUCCUUGUAGAGAACUUUCACUUCCUUGGAUAAGUAUAUUCCUAGGUAUUUGUGUUUUUUUGCAGCUUUUGUAAAGGCGAUUGAGUUCUUUAUUUGAUUAUCAGCUUGGUUGUUGUUGGUGUAUAGCAGUACUACUGAUUUGUGUACACUAAUUUUGUAACCUGAGACUUUAUUGAAUAUGUUUAUCAAAUCUAGGAGCUAUUUGGAUGAGUCUUUAGGGUUUUCUAGGUAUGUAAUCAUAUCAUCAAAGGACAGUGACAGUGUGACUUCCUCUUUUUUAAUUUUGAUGCCCUUUAUUUCUUUCUCUUGCAUUAUUUCUCUUCCAGUGCUAUGUUGAAUAGAAGUCAUGAAAGUGGGCAUCCUAUUCUUUUUCCAGUUUUCAGGGGGAAUGCUGUAAACUUUUAUUCAGUCAAUACGAUGUUGGCUGUGGAUUUGUUAUAUACAGUUUUUAGUACUUUGAGGUAAGUCCCUUCUAUGCCUACUUUGUUGAGAGCUUUUACCACAAAGGGAUACUGGAUUUUAUCUACUGCUGUUUCUGUGUCUAUUGAGAUAAUUAUAUGGUUUUUUGUUUUUAAUUUUGUUUAUAUGAUGUCUAGUUUCCUUUUUGUUAUGUCCUUUCCUGGUUUUGAUGUUAGGGUGAAACUGGCUUCAUAGAAUUCUUUAGGGAGAGUUCCUUAUUUCUGUAUCUUUUGGAAUAGUUUCAGUAGGCUUGCUACCAAUUCUUCCUUGAAUGUCUGGUAGACUUCAGCUGUGAAUCAACCUGGUUGUAGACAUUUUUUUUCCUUGGCAGUUUUUUUAUUACUGAUUCAAUCUCACUGCUUGUUAUUGUUCUGUUCAGGAUUUCUAUUUUUUCCUGGUUUAAUGUAGGAGGAUUAGAUGCUUCCAAGAAUUAAUUCAUUUCAUCUAGAUAUUCUAGUUUGUGCUUUUAAAGGUGUUCAUUGUAGCCUUGAAUAAUCUUUUGUAUUUCUGUGGCAUCAGUUGUAAUGUCUCUAGUUUCAUUUCUAAUUGAGCUUAUUUGAAUCUUAUCUCUUCUUUUCUUGGUUAAUCUCCCUAAAGGUCCAACACUUUCUUUUAUGUUUUCAACAAACCAGUUUUUUUGUGUGUCAUUUAUCUUUUGUAUUUUUCCAGUUUCCCUUUCAUUUAAUUCUGCUCUGAUCUUUGUGAUUUUUUUUUUUCUUCUCCUGGCUUUCAGUUUAAUUUGCUCCUGUUUCUGUAGUUCCUUGAAGCGUGACAAGAGGCUACCAUUUGUGCUGUUUCAGACUUUUGGAUAUAGGCAUUUAAUGCUAUAAAAUUUCCUCUUAGCGUUGCUUUUGCUGUAUCCUGGAGGAUUUGAUAACUUGUGUCACUAUUAUCGUUCAUUUCAAAGAAUUUUCUAAAUUACUAUCUUGAUUCCAUUGUUAAUCCAAAAAUCAUUCAAGAGCAGAUUAUUUAAUUUCCAUGUAUUUGUAUAAUUUUGAGGGUUCCUUUUGAAGUUGAGUUCCAGUUUUAUUUCCCUGUGGUCUGGGAAAGUACUUGAUAUAUCAAUUUCAAUUACCUUAAAUUUAUUAAAACUUAUUUUGUGGCCUAUAAUAUGGUCCUAUCUUGGAGAAUGUUCCAAGUGCCGAUGAGAAUGUAUAUUCUACAAUUCUUGGGAAGAAUUUCUGUAAAUAUCUGUUAAGUCCAUUUGUUCUAGGGUAUAAUUUAAGUCCAUUGGUUCUUUGUUGACUUUCUGUCUUUAUGAUCUGUCUAGUGCUGUCAAUGGAGUAUUAAAGUCCCCCACUAUUAUUUUUUUGCUGUCUGUCUCAUUUCUUUGGUCUAGUAAUAAUCUUAUUAAAAAUCUGGGAGCUUUAGUGUGAGGUGCAUAUAAAUUUAGGAUUGUAAUAUCUUCUUGUUGGACUGAUUCUUUUAUCAUUAUAUAAUACCCUUCUUUGUCUUUUUAUACUGCUAUUUCUUUAAAGUCUGUUUUGUCUGAUGUAAGCAUAGCUUCUCCUACUUAAUUUUUAUUUGUGUUUGUAUAGAAUAUCUUUUUCUAUUCUUUUGCCUUGAGUUUAUAGAAAUCCCUAUGUGUUAAGUGAGUCUCUUGAAGAAAGAGGAAAUUUGGUAUGUGAUUUUUAAAAAUCCAUUCUGCCAUUCUGUAUCUUUUAAGUGGAGUAUUUAGACCAUUUAUAUUCAAUGUUAAUAUUGAGAUGUGAGAUACUGUUAGAUUCAUCAUGUUAGUUGUUACCUACUUUGUGUUUUUUUUUCAUUGUGCUAUUAUUUUAUAGACCCUGUGAAUUUUAUACUUUUAGAAGGUUCUAUUUGGUUUAUAUUGAGUUUUUGUUUCAGGAUUUAGACUCAUUUUAACAUUUCUUGUAGAGUUGGUUUGGUAGGGGCAAAUUCCCUCAGCAUUUGUUUGUCUGAAAGAUCUUUCUUGCUGCUGCUUCAACUUUUAUAUUUCUCACUGCUCCCUCAAUCAGUUCUAGCCCUGGGUAGGGUUAAGGUCUUCUCCCUUGGCCUGAAUUCUUAGGUUCCCUGAUGGAAAUGUAUAUCCUAAAGGCAGUCUCUCUCCCUCUCACACUCUGAGGACUUAUAGAUUUUUGCCUGUCUCAUGGAGUAAGCUGCAGCCUGGCGCUGCCUUCAAAAGGUCUGUGGAUUCUUUUUUUUUUUUUUUUUUUCUGUUAAGUUCUUGCAUUGAAUCUUAUACUGUGAAUCUCUACACACUAUUUUGUCUGUCCAAGUGAGAGAGGCAUGCUAACACUGCCUGCAAUCUGCCAUCCUGGAAAAAAAACAAAACCAAAAGCUUUACAUUAAAAAUGAAUCCUACCAAAAAUAUCUCUAAGGUGGUUGUCAAAAAUUUGUAUUUUCUUCAUUAAUCCACAUGCUUGCCAAAAUUAAUAUAAGCAAAUAAUUUAUUAUUUGAAACACUGAUGAUAUUGUCUUGUGUAUUUUAACUUUUUUCAUAUAUAAUAUCUAAUAUACAUAUAAUAAAAUGUGUAUGUCAAAAUCAUAGUUUGCUUAAUUUGCACAAAUUGAACACACGUGUGCAACCAACAAUCGUAACUCAGAUUAGGAAAUAAAAUUCUACCACUAUUUCAAUUACCACCUCAUGCUCCCUUCCAGACACUACCUAUCUCAAAUGUCACCAUAGUCCUAGUUUCAAGUAAAUUUAUUUUACCUAAAUCAUUCUUUAGAUAAAUUGUGGCUUACAGUCAAUAUUCUAUUGUGUCUGACUUCUUCUGCUUAGCAUUUUGUUAGUGAGAUUAAUCUUCAUAGUUGUACACAGAUAAUGUAUUCUAAGUUUUGGUAGUCAUGUUUUACAGCAUUUCAUUGUAUCUAUAUACCCUAUUUUAUUUAUACAUUCAAAUUUGAUGGGAAUAAAGUAUAUUUUGGGGAAGUGAGUGCUAUUAUAAAUAGUAUAGCUAUAAGCUUUUUAGUAAAUAUAAUUUAAUUAACAAGUGUAUUAAUUCAUUUUGUGUAUAUAUCUUCAAAUGCACUUAGGGGGCCACAGGAUACACAUAUGUUCAAUUUUAGAAGAUAACGAAAAAUAUUUUUCCAGAAUCAUUGUUCAAAUGUAUACUCUCACCAGCGGUGUAUAAAAUAUUGGAUGUACAUAUCCCGGACAAAACUUGGAAUUGUCAUUCAUUUUCAUUUUAGCCAUUCUUGUUUGUGAAAAUUUAUAUCAUUUCACUGGUGGUUGAUGGAGUUAAACAUCUUUUAAAAAGAUGCUUAUUGUCCAUUUAAAUAUGCUUUAAUGUGAAAUACUCAUUUCUUCUUGCUGCUUUUUGGAUCAUUUAGCAUUUUCUUGUUCAUUUGUUGUAUAAAAUAAAUCGAUAUAAGUACAGUGACGAUCUUUCAUUAAUUAGUAGCUUGUCUUUUUCUUCCUUAACUGUAAUUCUUGAAGAACAAGUGUUCUCAAUUUUAUUAUAGCCUGUGUUUUCCUAUAACAAAUUGUGCUUAGUGAAACAUGUUUUAAAACUAUCUAUCCCACAUUAUUAUCAUAAAUCUAUUUUUCUAUAGCCCCCUCUAAAAUAUUUAUUGUUUUAAUUUUAUAAUUAUAUGUGCAAUCAUUUUGAAUAUAAUCAAUAAUAUAACUUAGAAUAUAUGAAAUAAACAUUGAUGGAAAUAAAUUAAAUACAGACAUUCCAUAAUUCUGGUGGUGGGACUUCAACACAUUUUCCUCAACAGCUAAUAUUACCAGUCAAAAUAUCAGUGUGGCUGUAAAAUGUGUGAACAAAACAAUCAUUAAAUUUGACCUAAUAGGCAUUUAUGGAACACUUUGCAUAAUUACAUUCUUUUCAAUUGUUUAUGCAACAUUUACGACAUUGACUUAUAAAGAAAAUGACCAAUUUCAAAAUAUUAAAAUCCUUUGUGUUUUUUCAGAACUUAAACAAAAAUCGGAUUUAAGCUAAAAAUAAACAAGUAGAUAACCAGAAAAAAAUCCAAUUUGCAGAGUAAAAUGUAUACACUGCUAAAUAAUUAUAAAGUUAAAUAACCAUAUACAAAUUUUAAAAAUAUUUGAACAUAAUGAUAAUAUGGCAGCCACGGCAUAUUCUCUCUUGUAUGAUGCAGCUAUCAUAAUACUUAGAAAUAAUUUGAUAGCCUUAAACAUAUAUACUAGAGAAGAAAAAUCAGAAGAAAAUUAAUGACUUAAUUUUCCAUUUCAAAAAGUUAGAAGAAUAACCGGAAAAUCAAAUCUGAAGGACAAAGAAGAAAUAAUCCAACCUAGAACAAGAGUCAAUGAAAUAGAAAACAAACAUAAAAUAGAGCAAAUCAAGAAAGCUAACCAUAGUCCGUCUAAAAAGAUUUAUUAAAUUAAUAAAUUUAUAGCAAGAUGAUAGAGACUAAAUAGAGAUGUUUCCAAAAUCAGAUGUUUCCAAUUCUUCCAAAAAAGAAUAAUACCAAACAAGAGUAUCAUCCCAAAUCUUCCUGACAAACUUAAAGUAACAAGUGAACAUUGUGAGCAACUAAACAUUACAUUUGAUAGUUUGAAUAAAGUAGAUUAAUUCUCCAAAUAAUUACCCUACUGAAGACUACUGGAGAAGAAAUAUAAGACAUGAAGGCUCUGAUAUCAUUAAAAUAUUAUAAAGACAUUUUUUAAAAACCUUUCAAUACAGAAAGACCAAAGAUAUGAUGGACCCAGUGGUGAAUUUUUCUUAAACAUGUUUUCCUUUAAGAAAUUAAGGAACAAAUAAAGUUAAUCUUACACAAGUCAUUUUAGGGAGUAGAAAAUGAGUGGAAAUUUACACUUGGAGACUACUGAAUCCCUGCUUCUAUAACUGUGACUGAAACUUGGCCACGUAAUUAAUAUCAAAACAUUUCUCCUAUUUUUGAAAAAUUGACUUAAAAUUAUAUCUCACAUAAUUGUAAUUUUGACUACAACUCUAACUAAAUUAUCUUUGUUAUUCCCAUUAUUAUUCUCAUUUCUUUUUUAAUUGAUCACAGUUUUGUUUUAUUUUAUAUUUGUUUCUAAAGCAACAACAUACAUAAAAGCAACAAGGAAAUUAUAACUAUUUUGAGAGUGUCUGAAAUCACUCGGGUGAUUUUCAAGAAUGAAUACUUUAGUCUGGAAAAGAAGUAAGAAAACCUAAACUUGCAAAGGACAUUGCUUGCAGGGCACUCUAACAACCAAAAACCGUGGUGUAGAAGUUCACCUGCCCAGAAUGUAAUACUAGUCCCUACUCAACUUCCAGAUACUCAGUUUCGAUCUAUAAAAUGUAAGAAAUGGUAUUGCAUUCCUCAAAGAAUUGUUUUUGAAGAAUUAUGAGAUGAUUAUAAAUUCCUCAGAACAGUGCAUGACUUUGGUAUGCGCUUAGUAUCAGACAUUAUUUAUUAUUGAUAACUCAUGAGUGAAUGAUAAGACAGGGUGUAAAAAGAGGUAGUUUUAAGUGCAGGGUAAGUGUAUGUGCAAACAGCUGCAGAAAGAUCUCUUUAUGAAGGGCAAUGUGGGAGAGUUCAUCCAUUUAAGGAGUUCUAGGUGUGGUUUCUGUGGAAUAUAGAUUGCUUACAAGUGAGGCUUUGAAAGCUUGGGCAAUGACUGGCUUUAGGGACAAAAGACUAUCUUAUUUUUGUAAGCAAUGUAUUGAGGGUAAUGUCCUGUGUGAGUCUGAGUACCUCUACCAUGUAGCCUUGUAGGGUAGCUUAAGGACUAUGAGACUGAGGAAGGUCAAUGCUGAGUGAACAUUCAUGACAUGGGACAAAGAGAACAAGAAGAUGCCUUAAGACUGGAUCCUUUAUGAAUAUUUGUUUUUCUGUUUCUUCCACUUUUUUAUAAAGAUGGAAUGGAAGGAUUGACCUGAAUUCCUCCAUUUGAGAAAGAAUAACACUGAUCUUGCAAAAUAAUUGUAUAGAGAUACAUAACAAGAUGACAAGUUUAUACACAAAAUUGCAAAAAAGCUGCAGCUUCUUCAGUUUCUAUGUUAAGCCUCUUGAGCUUCAAGGCACCAGGGGUUGUGGGAGAACAUUUAACUUACCAACGAACUUACUCUAGUCUCUGGGUUUUAAAACAAUCUCUAUUUCUCUGGUCUAUGAGCCUGUCUCCUUUGGAGAACUUCUUGUUUUUAUUCUGUUUCUGGUUUGUUUUGUUUGGGUUUUAAGGUGCGUGUAAAUAAUAGGAGGCUUGCCUGGUUUUGUUUGUACCUAGAGAGUAAUGUUAAUAUUUCAACACUGGUCUUUGCUUUAUCUUCUGUGCAGUGAUGACUCCCUACAGUGAGAUGAAUAGUCUGGCCAGGUCUGUAGAAUGAAUACCUGGAAAAGAAGAAAAGCGCAUGAACAUUUUUUUAUUGAUGUAUUUUUCUUGUUUUGAAUAUGAGCAAGAGGAUUUUAAGGGCAAACAGAGUGCCAGGAAUUCCCUACAAAGUUUCCAUCAGGAAUUUAAUUCUUUGAAGGAAAAAGAGCACUGAUGGAAGGAGAAUCCUUACUGAAAAAAAUUCAGUGGCACAUAUUGAAAAAAAAUAAUAAGCAUGUAAGGGAGCAUAUUGGCUAUGGCUGUUUGAUACCUUGGCCCAAAGCAAGAGGACAAGAUAUUUAUAUUUCAUUCAUCUUCAUUUGCUUUAAAUUGAGGUCCAAUUUACAAUAUGUAAAAUUAAUUAUUAAUUAUUUUAACACAUAAAAUUAAGUGUCAUUUGGUUCAUUCACAAGAUUGUGGAGCGUCUAUCUGCUUCCAAGACAGUCUCAUCACCCCAAAACGUUUUGAAAGUGGGCAAACUCCUACUCUUAAGGAUUGUUGUUUGCAGGCCAGGCACAAUGCCUCACACCUGCAAUCCCAGCAGUGUGAAUGGCUGAAGCAGGAGGACGCUUGAGCCCAGGAGUCUGAGACCAGCCUGGGCGACAUAACAAGACCCCAUCUCAAAAAGAAGAAGAAAAAAAAACUAUAAAAAGGAUUCCUGUUUGCUAAUGGGAUCGCACUUUUUGGUUCUGAUUAUGACAGUGGCAUAAUUGAAGUCGCUUUUUAUCUGACCAAUGUUAGCAGCGAAGAGCACAGUGUACUCGCCACUCUCCUCAUUCACUCUUCAGGCCGCAUAGUCUCACAUUCCUUUGGGAAAGUUGUUCUCAUUACCGCCAUCUUGACACUGUCUGUUCUGUGCAAGCAAAACUGUAAAUGUCUUUAGAGUAAUUUGUAAUCUAGAAAAUAAAAUGAAUUAUUGGUCUUCCAGCUUUGUCUACUGUUUAUUGAGUUUAUUUUAAUACCUCUUCUCUGCUUCCAUUAUACCUCUGCUUGAACCUUAAGGCUCCUACGUAUUAGGUCACCAAUUUUAUACAUAUACUAUGUAUUAGGUCACCACUUUUGUACACUUUUAUAUACAGCAUUUAGUCUCAUGCUUUGUAUACUAAAGAGAACAGUACACAUAAAUACGA
rnacentral:lncRNA from 1 species